AUUGAACGCUGGCGGCAUGCUUUACACAUGCAAGUCGAACGGUAACAGGCCUUCGGGUGCUGACGAGUGGCGAAGGGGUGAGUAAUGCAUCGGAAUGCGCCCAGAGGUGGUGGUUAACGCAGCGCAAGCUGUGCUAAUAUCGCAUGUGACCUGAGGAUGCAUGCGGGGGACCACGCAGCAACGUUUGGCCUCGCGCCUCUGGAGCGGCCGAUGUCAGAUUAGGUAGUUGGUGGGGUAAAGGCCUACCAAGCCGACGAUCUGUAGCUGGUCUGAGAGGACGACCAGCCACACUGGGACUGAGACACGGCCCAGACUCCUACGGGAGGCAGCAGCGGGGAAUUUUGGACAAUGGGCGCAAGCCUGAUCCAGCAAUGCCGCGUGCGGGAAGAAGGCCUUCGGGUUGUAAACCGCUUUUGUACGGAACGAAAAGGCUCUGGCUAAUACCUGGGGCUGAUGACGGUACCGUAAGAAUAAGCACCGGCUAACUACGUG
rnacentral:rRNA from 1 species